rnacentral:tRNA from 1 species
GGGGCCAUGGUCUAGGGGACUAGGACGCCUGGUUUUCAGCCAGGAGGACGGGGGUUCGAAUCCCCCUGGCCCUA